AGUGAACGCUGGCGGCGUGGUUAAGACAUGCAAGUCGAGCGACAGUAGCAAUACUGGAGCGGCAAACGGGUGCGUAACACGUGAGCAAUCUGCCCUUAAGACCGGAAUAGCCCAGGGAAACUUGGAUUAAUACCGGAUGUGGAGGAGUCAGGCAUCUGACUUCUUCCAAAGCUUGUAACGGCGCUUAAGGAGGAGCUCGCGGCCUAUCAGCUAGUUGGCGAGGUAACGGCUCACCAAGGCUAAGACGGGU
rnacentral:rRNA from 1 species